CUUGGCAUUGUUCAACGCCACCUGGCUACUGGCUGGCGCUGGCACACGCUGCGCGAUUUCGUCAAUCCACUUUCCAAGUUUAAUUUUUUUUCGGCUCGAAUUUCCUCUCUCUCAUAUGUUAUAAAAAGUUGAAUUUUUGGGUGUGUGAAAGUGUAUUAUCCUCCCCUGUUUCGGCUCCCUGAUUGGCGGGUUUUCGAGUUGAGAGCGAUACUGUGAUGCUAAACAAGUUUUUUUGAACUGUGAAAACUGUCGUAUGUUAGUAUUUUACAAUCUGUUUUACACAAAUUGAUUGCGGUGGACGCACGGGUCGUUAGUAUGUUGGAAUUUUUUUCCACCAAACAGCAUAUCUCUUUGAGGGAAACCAGUACUCCGAUGAGUUUUUCUCUCUGUAGUGAGAAUUUCAGCUUAAUGUUGAGUUUUUAACGCACGUUAGCGGAAAAAAAUUCCGACAUAUUUUACAAUGUUGUUAACCCAAAAGAGGAAAACACUCUCUAGUGAUCAACAUUAAUUGGACGGAUUGAACAAGAAUCAGCGUGACUACAUCGAGCAUUGUCUACUUUCCUUUGGUUUCUUUGCUUGUUUAGCUGUACACACUGCAAAAUUUUCACGUGUAUUAUUUGAGCCUUCUCAUGGAUGCUACUCACCCUCCCGCUUCAGCUGAACCUUUGCGUUGAUACGGCCGACUAGGUGAACCGUGAGAAAGGGAGGGUAUAUUUUACCCACUUGAGCUGAUAUAUUUUCUGCCAUCUUUGAGGGAAGACUCAACAAGGAGGACGGCUUACCCGAUAUAAAUUCUUCGUUAUCUGAAGGUUUCACAGUUCCUAUGCCUCCUUUAUCUGACGCCAUUCAUUACUUGCUACAUCCUGACGAGCUCCGAUGGAUCCUGCAAUGGCAGAUGACGUACAGGCCCCUUUACCGUCGGGAUGAGACGCGAGAGACGCCGAACGUCAAGAAGUGCUUCGCGUAUCUAGAGAAAACGAGCCGGAGUUUCAGCACGCUCAUCCAGGAGCUGCACCCGGAGUUGCGCAUGCCCAUCUGCCUCUUCUACCUCAUCGCCCGCGGCCUCGACACCAUCGAAGACGACACCUCCAUCCCGGCCAAAAAGAAAGAGCUCACCCUCCGCGACUUCCACUCGAACCUCGAGACCGACGGCUGGCACUUCACCGAGAACCGACCCCAGGAGAAGGACCGCGCCCUCCUCCUCGACUUCGACUGCGUCAUCCAGGAGUUCAAGCUCCAGAAGCCGGUCUACAAGGACAUCAUCAGGGACAUCAUCCGCCGGAUGGGCCACGCCAUGGCCGACUACUGCCUCCGCGCCGAGAGCGACGGCCCGGGCAUCGACACCCGCGACGACUACGACGAGUACUGCUACUACGCCGCCGGGGUCGUCGGCGAGGGCCUCACCGACAUGUUCCUCGAGGCCAAGUUCUACCGCCCGCCGCCCGCGCUCCAGGACGGACGCCGCCUCCAGGUGUCCAUGGGGCUCUUCCUCCAGAAGACCAACAUCAUCCGGGACAUCAAGGAGGACGCCGAUGACGGGCGGCGCUUCUGGCCGCGCGCCGUCUGGUCCAAGUACGUCCACGACUUCGAGGACCUCCUGGACCCGGAGCACCGGCUGGCGGCCCUCAACUGCGGCUCCGAGAUGGUGCUCGACGCCUUGGAGCACGUCCCCGAGUGUCUCUCCUACCUGACGGGCGUCCAGGAGCAGAGCGCCUUCAACUUCUGCGCCAUUCCGCAGUGCAUGGCAAUCGCGACCCUGACGCUCUGCUUCCGCAACCCGGAUGUCUUCGUCAGGAAUGUGAAGAUAAGUAAGAGCGAGGCUUGUCGACUGAUGAUGGAAUCAACGCGAGACCUGCAAACUGUUUGCGACGUCUUCAAGAGGUAUAUUCGAGUCAUCAGGAGGAAGAACGCGUCGCAUGAUCCGAACUUCCUGAAGAUCAUCACCGCCUGCGAUAAGAUCGAGACUUUCAUCGAAUCCAAUUUCCCGCUGGAGACUGCGAAGAGCAUCAUGCCGAAAGAACUGGCACGCGUUUUCAAGUUGGGAAGCCUGGAGGCGACGCAAGGAUCGAGGAAACUUACAAAAAAACAGACAGAGUUGGGAAAUAGUUUCACAGUUUAAAUUUGGAAACCACCGUACUUUCAGUAGUGAUUUAACCGCGGAUCCGAUCUGACUUUCUGCUUCUUGGACGGGCCUCUGCUUCGAUCUGCUUUCCGACGACGCUGAAAGUUCCUGCGGUACAAAUGCCUUCGGCGUCUAGCACCGUCUAUUACCUGCUCCACCUGGAUGAAAUACCAUGGGUUCUGCAAUGGAAAUUAUGGUACAAGCCACCUCACAUCCGGGACGAGGCCAAGGAGACGACAAAC